CAGGGCUCGCUGCGUGUGUCUAUAACUUUGUGUCGCUGCGGGUGGUUGUUAGGAGGAGGGAUGUGGAAGGCGAGGAGGGUGACGGGCUGCUCGGGCGGGCGGCAGCAGCAGGCGGAUCGUUUGCCUCUCGCCGGCUGCUCGCAGAGGGAGCGGGUUCGGCGCUUUCCCCUCCUUCGCCUUUAAAGGGAAGGCUCCUCGAGCUGAAGGCGCAGGAGCAGGAGGAGCAGGAACCGUGCGGCAGCGCUGCUUCUUCCUCCCGUGGAUUCGGAUCAGGAUUCCUGCCGGUGUGGAGGUGGCCGUGGGCUCCCCUGCCGCCUUCCUCCCCUCCCGAGGUGUCUCUCGCUGCCUCCUCUGCCUGCGCUUUUUAAAUGACUUGAGUGAAGGGGGGGAAAAAUCUGUCAAGAUGGCAGCAGCAGGAGCAAGGAGGUUAUGAAUGUGGUGUUGGUGCUGGAACAAAACCUAUUCCCUUUGGCAGCCCUAGGGAGGGCUUAAAGCUUCUGGACCUGUUGGAAGACUGGCGAUUUGAUUUGUUCACGCGGCGUUUGCUUUUUUCCCAGCGAGAAGAAGGAUUUAUUAUUAUUAUUUUUUUUAAGGGAGCAGCCCCCGGGUGGCCUCCUCCCGCCCCCUGCGAGGUUUUGGGGGGCUGCUUGUUUGGGGCUUGGGGGACACCGCCAAGUGACAGCCUCAACGCUGGUAUCGCAGUCGGAUGUACGCCAAGACUUCGGCUCCCUUCAGGGCGUUUUGAAGAAGGAAUAAAAGUCUUCGGCGUCACCUGAAGGACCCCUCUCCCUGCUCUCCAGCCGAGGGAGGGGGCAAAGGACCACCUCCCUUCCAAGAAAGGGAAGAUAAUCCGCGGAAGCGACGAGGAGCCAGCUCGAAGGUGCCGGGGGCGGGUGAGGGGGGGGUUGUCCUCUCCCGGCUGGAUACAGCUCGCUUCCCGCUGGAGCUACUUCUGCAUCUGGAUGGAGUGAAACAUAAACAAACGCACACACGCACCGCGGGAGCGGCCGCCGUUCCGCUGCCCGCCCUGCGCUCCGGCUCCUAAUCCCAUAUUUUUGUGGGUUUUAUUUUUUUUUUUCCCCCCGUUUUCCCUCCCUCUUCUCCCUCCCCCCGCGGGGUUCGUGGCGCGCAUCGCCCGGCAGCCCGUUUCGGAGCGCGGCAUGCCCGCCCGGCGCCCCGCCGCCUGCUAGAGCUCCCGCGGGCACCGAGGAGGAGCGGGGCCGCCCCGUCGCAGCCGAGCGCAAGAUGGCAGAGGCGUCGCCCCCCGCCGCCGCCCCGCCGUCGCCGCUGGACGUGGAGCUGGACCCCGAGUUCGAGCCGCAGAGCCGCCCCCGCUCCUGCACCUGGCCCCUGCAGAGGCCCGAGCUGCAGCCCAGCCCGGCCAAGCCCGCCGGCGAGCCGCCCGCCGACGCCGCCUCCAUCAUCCCCGAGGAGGAGGACGACGAGGAGGAGCGGGGCGGCUCGGCCAUGGCCGUGGGCAGCGCCGACCCCGCGGUGCCGGCGGCGCCGCUGCCCGGGGGCGGCGCGGAGGGGCCGAGCCUGUCGCCGGGGGCCGCGGCGGGCGGCGGGGCGCUGGGCGCGGCGGCGGCGCCGAGGAAGUGCUCGUCGCGGCGCAACGCGUGGGGCAACCUCUCGUACGCCGACCUCAUCACCCGCGCCAUCGAGAGCUCUCCGGAGAAGCGCCUCACCCUCUCGCAGAUCUACGACUGGAUGGUCCGCUGCGUGCCCUACUUCAAGGACAAGGGCGACAGCAACAGCUCGGCGGGAUGGAAGAAUUCGAUCCGUCACAACUUGUCACUCCACAGCCGAUUUGUCAGGGUGCAAAAUGAAGGCACUGGGAAAAGUUCUUGGUGGAUGAUCAAUCCAGAUGGUGGAAAAGGUGGCAAAGCACCCAGGAGACGUGCUGUGUCAAUGGACAACAGCAACAAGUACACGAAGAGCAGAGGGCGAGCUGCUAAGAAAAAGGCAGCCCUGCAGACUGCCCAAGAGACAAGUGAGGACAGCCCUUCUCAGCUCUCCAAGUGGCCAGGGAGUCCCACGUCCCGCAGCAGCGAUGAGCUGGAUGCAUGGACAGAUUUUCGCUCUCGUACAAAUUCAAAUGCCAGUACGAUCAGUGGCCGCUUGUCACCAAUUUUGGCAAGCACAGAACUAGAUGAUGUUCAAGAUGAUGACGCUCCGCUUUCUCCCAUGCUGUAUGGUAGUCCAUCGAGCUUGUCCCCAUCAGUAAACAAACCAUGUACUGUGGAGCUGCCUAGGUUGACUGAUAUGGCUGGGACAAUGAAUUUGAAUGAUGGACUGACAGAUAACCUCAUGGAUGAUCUCUUGGACAAUAUAACACUCCCUCCCUCCCAGCAGUCACCCACAGGAGGAAUAAUGCAGAGAAGCUCCAGUUUUCCAUAUGGUUCCAAAGGUUCGGGGCUGGGUUCUCCCUCAAGUAGUUUCAACAACGCUGUGUUUGGGCCAUCGUCCCUGAAUUCCCUCCGCCAAUCGCCCAUGCAGACCAUUCAGGAGAACAAGCAGGCCACCUUCUCUUCCAUUUCUCAUUACAACAACCAGACGCUGCAAGAUCUCCUUGCCUCUGAUGCACUUAGUCACAGCGAUGUCAUGAUGACACAGUCCGACCCACUCAUGUCACAAGCCAGCACAGCUGUGUCUGCCCAGAAUUCCCGCAGAAAUAUAAUGCUCCGGAACGACCCCAUGAUGUCGUUUGCUGCGCAGUCCAGCCAGAGCAGUCUGGUCAGUCAGAGCCUGCCUCAUCACCAGCACCAGUCCCACAACUCCUCUCUUAGUGGCAGCCGUGCCUUGUCCAAUUCCAUCAGUAACAUAGGCUUGAGUGACUCGAACAGCUUGGGAUCCAGCAAACAUCAGCAGUCACCUGUCAAUCAGUCUAUGCAAACACUUUCUGACCCGCUCUCAGGCUCCUCUUUGUACUCCUCUAGCAUGAACCUCCCGGUCAUGGGACAUGAGAAAUUCCCGAGUGACUUGGACCUGGAUAUUUUCAAUGGGAGCUUGGAGUGUGACAUGGAGUCCAUUAUCCGGAGUGAACUCAUGGAUGCAGAUGGUCUGGAUUUUAACUUUGAUUCCCUCAUCUCAGCUCAGAACGUUGUCAGUCUGAAUGUGGGGAACUUCACUGGUGCUAAACAGGCUUCAUCACAGAGUUGGGUACCAGGCUGAAGGAUCUUUGAGAACAGGGAAAAUGGGCAAACAGAUUGUUGUGGUGUUUUUCCAUUGCUUCUUUUCCACAGCUGGGGGCAUUUGAACUUGUAAACAUUGUUUCUGUCAUCCUUUUGUGAUUCUGCAGACUCCUGCCCAUACCUCUGCCUGCUCUCAUGUACGUAUUUACUGACUCAUAGGGUAGGUGCCACACAAAGUGCCCUUUCUCCUUUGUUUAUUUAUUAGUGUAAGGGAGUAGAUUUCAAAAUAUAGUAGGAUAAAAGGUUAGCUCUAAAUUAUUGAAAGUGUUUUGUUAACUUCAGAAUAGUAUGUAGAGUGUCCCAGUGGUGAGGUCAAACGAGGCAUUCAUUCAGUGUGCAGCUUGCUUCCAACUUUGUUAUUUUCUGGAUGAAGGAUGGAAAGAAGGAGUUGGUGUUGUUUGACUUUAUGGUGCAUAAUUUGCCCCUUUCGUCUUUAAUUGAGUUUUCAUUCUCUGCUUCACAGUAAGGUUUUCAAUGGGAGGCUUUGUGGGAGGUGAACAGCAGUGGUGAACCUUCUCAGUGUCUUCCUGUGUAUGUGAAUUACCACAGGAGACAUAUGCUGUCAUCUGGUGUCUGUGAGGAAGGACAAAACUUCGCAGGGAUCUUCCUUUCAGUCGUUCUGCAAAGCUGCCUCACUCUGGUGGAGCUGUUGGUUUGCACAGUCCUUUCUGUUUCAGUGGGAGGAUUUCCUUUGGUUCUGUCGCAUCUUUUCACUGAAAGAAGGACCAUUGCAGUGCACGGCCAGGAGAUGGGCUGCGGGAAUGUGCUGUAGAGGACAGUUCCCGCUGACCCUGCAUGGAACGACAGCUUGGUAAGGCCAGAGCUACAGCUGAAUUUGAGUUUUUCUUUCAAUUCCAUUGUUGGAGUACUUAAGAAAGGAAAGAGUAAUAAAAAAAAUUGACUCAUGAACCAGAAAGCAAAAACUUGCAGAAGGCCAAGUUUGUUGACCAGUUCUCUUUUCCUCCAGGUCCAUGAGCUGUUUGGAUUUAAAAACCCUUUUUGCAUGAAGUGAAAAAAAGGAGACUGUGAAACAUCCAAUGGUGCAGUCUGCCAAAUGAAGCCUAAAAAAUACAUGCUAUGUAUUGUGUCAAUACAUGCCUUGACACAGGCAAAUAGGGCAGCCUCCUGCUAUUGUAUCUUCAUUUACUGUGUAUAGGCAGAUGAUGCUGGUGGGGAUGCUUGCCUAGGCAGUGUGGAGGAGAUGCACCACAUCACCUCCUCACCAAUGCUCACCGCUGCUUCUUCACCCUGGCCCAUGCCAUUCAUGGAAAACAUAGGCAUCGUGAUCUUUUUCAGGCUGCUCCCUCUGAAUAAAGGAACUGACACAUCUGUGUGAGUGGAGUCUCAUUGCAGAGGACAGAUUUGUUAACGAUAACAGCUCUCCUUGGCGAAUUACUGUCCAGUCAUCUGUGGAAGCCUCUUUCCUUCUCUCUGACAAGGGGACUGGCUGCUGCUGGGUGCCUGUGGUAUCAGGUGCAAGCACAGAUGAUUUCUGCUGAGCUGGUUCAUCGUGCACCCUUCCUUGUGUGUUAAGCAGCACUGUGUGAGAGUUUGUUUCCCUAUGAGCAUCUCAUAUUGAUAGGGACACGUCAUGUGGCAUUGAAUGCAAUCAUUCUGAAUCGCUUUCUCAGUUACUUCUCUGCUUCACUGUAGCAAUAGGGACCCCUGAAUUAAAAUCUUCUCUCUGCAGUGUUCACGGUCCUAACAAUGAAUCCUUACAGGCUUGAAGACUGAGGAGUGCUUUCAGCAGAGCAGCCUGGCGCUUGCUCAUGCUAAAUCCGUUUCACGAGGGUGGUCAGGUGUGUUUUGCAGGCAGGCAGAAGCAUUUACAAUGGGUUACUGGGAUAUCUGGGAAUAGCGAGUGCUGUGUUUUCUAUGGAAAAUAAGAGAAAUGUUGGAGUCAGUUUUUGGGAAGAAAAUAAAGCAGCCAAGUGCAUAGGUACUUAGUUUUUAUACAUACCCUAGGUAUAGAGAGUGGUUUAGCUUGGAAGAAAAUCAACUACAGUUUCUUCAUAAGGGAAGUAAAAAUCCUGUGCAGGAGACGGGACUGUUAUGGGUUUAGUGGCUCUUCACGUUUGCUCCAUACAAGCCUGUGAACGGUCCCUGGAGGGGUCCUUGCCCAGUCCCACCGCACUGGCCCUGUGCCUGUAGGCUAGUCAUGCACAGCCUUUCACAGGGCCCUCAUUGAGGCAUAUAAAUGAAGUUUGGUUUGGUUUGGUUUAGUUUUCUUUUAUAAGGACGAAAGGGGAAAAUCCAUAUGCUUUUUUUCUUGCAUGAUUCACUCAGCCAUAAUUUUGCUCUCUUAAGCUGGCUGGGGUCUCUAUUCCUCUAUGUUUGACUGCUUCCCAAGACCGCUGGAUGUGCUCUCCACCCACUCAAACAAUCAUCACCUUGAUUUUUCAGCUUGUUUAUUAAUAAAUAAAGACAUCACUGGUCCCUCACCUGUCUCUAGAAUAGCUUUUAUUUUGAAAUUAAUGGGUCCUCUCUCAGGCUGGGGUUCCCACAGCUCUGUGCUUUCCUCUGUAGUCCUUCUUAACUGUCGAGUCCCAAGGGACUCGGCAUUUGCCAAAGAGCAGUCCCAAACAGACGAGCAGGGGAGACUGUUCAGGACAUUUACUGCAACCUGGAAGGUUAGGAGCCGGUGAUCAGCUACUGCUUAGCAGACUUUUUCUCUAGCAUCAAACCCAUCCAAAAAGGUUUUUUUACCUUGAUUGUUUCAGUGAUCCGGUUUACAACGGUGCCACUCAAGCAGUGAUGCUGGCAGGGCUUGGGCAGGGGGUGGAGAAUGGCUGAGUGCAAAAAGGGCAGGAACUUCUUGAGCUGGUUUCAUCAUCUGAAAAACUCACCUAGCUGCAUCUUCUGAGAGAGAUUUCAAUGUGCUGUCUAGCCUCUGGGGUCUGGGAUGCCUCCGGGGUCUGUUACAGAGCUGUGCUGAAGUCAUGUUGACGUGUUAAAAAAUGUCAAGUAAAAUACUUCACUGAUCAGUUAAGGUCACUCAUUUUGACCUAGCAUCAUCUAGGUUCCACAGGAUCUUACUGUAGCAGUGGAGUGCACAAGCUACUAAUAGCAACGUCAUGUGACAUUGGCACAAUUUGAUGAUUAACAUCUUUGAUAAAGCAAAAUCCUAGGAAAUGUAACAAAAUGCCUGUUGGUAUUUCAUUAGUACAUAUCAGUUUAGACUACUUGCCAAUUUAUUAAUUGGUAUUCAACCUGUUUCUAGGUGAAGGUCAUACAAAAGACAAAUACGGACAUCUUGGGAAGUACCGUUCACUACAACACUAUCUUUAAGCUGAAGUGGGUAGUGAAAAGAUCUCCAUUUGGAUGGAGUUUUCAAUCAGAGGCCUCUGGAUAAUGUGCCAGGAGGAAGAUCAUUUUUAUUCUUUACCAGAAAGCUUGUUUUCUGCUCAUUAAAGCUGAAUUGUGGAAAUUGGUGGACCUCUUGCCUGAAGAUGCCAACACCCUCAGGACCAUAGCUGCGCUUCCUCCUUUCUUAUUUUUAGAACUGAAAUCUUAGGGGCAGGACUGGCAGUUUUCUUACAUUGCAGCCAAGAUAGGGCUGGCUGCCUUUAAAAGAAUCUACAGGAAAUUCAGGAGCAGCAAAUUCUUCUCCUUUUCUAACAAAUUAGCGGUUAAGGCAAUGGCACGCUUCUAACAUUUAAGUGUUGUUUCAGCCAGCCCAAGUUUUGAAAGGUGGUUUUGCCAGUAAUUGAACAUCGUAUGUGCCAGGUUUAGUCUUUGAACAAAAAUAUCUAUGCUGAAAAUGUAUUUUGCUAGGAACAGGGAUCCCAUUUCCUCCAAGGAAGACCUGCCCCCAAAAGGCUCCUCACUUUCCAGGCACAUGCCAGUGGCACAGGAGCAAAUUUGACAUUUGUGGCCGCUGAGGAAGAGGAGAGGGGAAAGCUGGGCAAACCAUGCUGGGACUCUCUUCUGUGCCAUCUUGCUGGCUGCAGUGCCGCUCCAAGCCCCUUGCACACAGGGGCCAAUCCUGUGCUUGCAGGGAUGCUGUGGCUUUUGCCGUGUGAAUGCAGCAGGAGCUGACACACAAACGUGAUGAAUCACUAACUCCUUCUGGGAGUUGGGCUUUUUGGGUUUGGUGUUUUUUUAAUCUAGGUUUGUGUUUUGGGGUUUUAUUAACUGAGGGAAGAUAUCUGUAAAAAACAGGAUUGCCUCCGCAGGCUUGUGUUGUAAGUGUACAGCAGCUGAAGCCAGAAGAGUGGUCUGAUCCUGUGGUUUGGGUGUUCUUCUGUUGCUGUUUUAUAUAGAUAUAUUUUUUAGUACUUCAUGCUUUGUCAUGCGAUUCAGCGGCAAUAAUUAGGCAGAAACUUGCUGUCCCUGCAGAUGCCAAGAUUACAGGAUGACAUACUCUCACCAGAUGACAGUACAAACUGAUAUUUUUAGAAUAGCCCGCAUCAACUGGUCUCCCAGUGCUUUCCUCCUUGGAUUGGCAGCACCCAAGUUUUAUUACAGAAUGGAUCUUCAUAAAUCAUCUUUUUCAUGUGAAUUAGGUGUAAUGACUGUUUAGAACUGCACAUCAGUUUUGGUCCCCAGGCAUGCUGUUGCCUGAUAGCUGGGAUGGCUACAGGUAUUUUUUUCUUUUUCCUUUCCUUCUUUUGAGCCAUGCUUUUAAAUAGCCCCUAAAAAACAUAUUUUCUUGAAGAAGUGCGUAAUAAGAGAUCCUUUUUAGAAAUGUAGCGUCACGCAGCUGAGGAAAUGUCGAGAUCUUUUUUCAUAGCAAUUCAACGCUCAGCUGAGGUGAUGAACUGACAGCAAGAGUUUUAAGUCUUGUGUUGAUGACAGCCAAAGAGCACAGUUACAGCGUAGGCGGCAGGAGUGCACGUGUUUGAGCAGUACCAUACGUAAAUAGCUGGCCUUUCUCUCCUGGCGUAGCAGUUGAAGAAUGUUCACACAGUGCCUUCCCAGGCUCCAUGUGCCAGCGGUGGAGAGUCUCCAGCAGGAUGCUCCCAUCAGUGCUGCCUCUGAUCAAGUCCCACUCAGUGCGUGGGGACACUGAUCCCAUUAAACCAGGUACUUGCAGUUGAACCGUGUGGACGUUCCAUUCUGGUCCAGUCUAUGGAGGCUUAUUUAGUCGGUUUUUCUACUCAGAUUACUGCACAGGAGGGCAGUUGUUGGAGUCUGGCGGACCGGACAUCUGCUGAGCAGUAACAGAAUGGAGAUGUGGCUUAGCUAAUGGAGGUCGCUGUGUAGCCGUGUUUGUCUGUGGUUACUCCAGAAAAAAAAGCCAGUUUCCCAGCUGAUGCCAUGGAGAAUGCCUUGUUUUUAUGCACUUUUACAGCUGGGCUGAAUACCUUUCCCAUUGUUUUUCCCUUGUCCUGCCUACUUUUGCAAACUGCUUCUCCUAGCUUUCAUAUAUAAUUUAUUUCAUACAAAUGUAGAAAAAGUCUGGUUUUGAGGAAGGACCUUCCCUUUCUUGCCUUUUCUACCACUUGUAAGUUAUGAUAGAAGAUGUUUUGCCUUAUAUGAACGUGGUGGAAAUUCUUUUGUUUGACCUGUGUGAGCAUUUUUGGCCUGUCAUUUUCAACUUAGUGCAGAGGAAAAUGGGGAGACUCCAUAGCAGGGAUGAUGCUUUUAAAAUAGGCUUGGUUGAAUAGGCCUGGCGAGAAAAAGAAACUCUUUAUGAGGACUUUCAGCAUAAAGAGUACAGAGCACGUUACCAUAGCACUAUAAACCCAUAAUUCAGGAUGUUUCCAGCCAUGCAGCUAUCUUUUGCUCUAAAAGUGGCCCUUAUUCUUCAUAUUCAAAAGUAGAAGCAAAAUCCUCUAUUUUUGCAGAGAGUGCAGUAGCUGCCCAUCCUUUUCCGACCCACAAUAGAGGUCUCCUUCCCAGUGCUCCCAAGUGCCUAAAGAAAGUGCCAUUAUUUCAGCCAAAGUACUAUACCCCUAAGGGAAGUUGUAUAUUGCAAGCAUUUUUGGCUGCCUUCUUCCAUAGAACAAACUUGCAGUAGCUCAGCAGCAUUCCGCCUAAAAGGUGCUGUGUUGAACACGCAGGCUGAGGUCUCCCAGUUGGUGAUUGUGUCACCUAUAACUGACAGGGUUUCCAACUCUGUCCUCAUGCCUCUGAACAAAAGGCAGGGGAUAAAAUUUACCAAGUUGUCAAGUAAGAAGCCUGGAGACGUCAUGGAGAGAUGAUGUCUUUCAUCUAAGCUCCUCUCGGUUGGCCAUGGCGGAGGAUUGAACCCAGUCAGAUGUGAUGGUUCUCAAAGGCAGUUGGGUAUCGGCAGUGCUUGUACUGGAAAGCUGACAUGACUGCAUAGUGACAUGCCUGUAGGUGUUAAAAUAAGUGUGGCAACAUAUGGUCUUCUUGUAUGGGAAGCAACAUACUGACACAUGCCGUGGAGUUUGCAUGCGUCUGCUCCUCCUGCAAGCAAGUGUAGUCUUCUGUGGAUUUGGUUGUUCAGUAUCAGGUCCCAAUACAUCAGGAAAAUCUGAUCUGCUUUUGAGUGUUUGAGCAUGAGUGGACCAAUUUACCUCUGGAUGUCUCCUUAUCAUGUGUGAAAUGAGUAGAAGGAUAUUCUUUGAGGAAAAUAUGAACUGCCCGGAGGAGUGGUGGAGUCCCCUUUGCUGGCAAUAUUCCAAACCUGGCUUGACAGGGCCCUGAAUAACCUAACCUAAGGUCCUGCCUUCAACAGAAGGAUGGACCAAACGAUACUGAGUCCCUUCCAGAUUGGACUUUUCCAUGAUUCUGUAGACAACUGGGACAUCAGAAUAAUGCGCAUAUCAAUAGUUGUGAGACCACACUACAGUUCUGGGCAAGCCUUUUGUCCCAGGGAGUGAUAAGGGCGAGAGAAUGAUUUGCUGUCUUUAGUUACAUUUACAUCCAAAAUACGUGGUUGUCUGCUAUCAUUUUCAGUGUUUCUUGGAGUGGAAGAGCAGCAACAGACGGAAAAUAGACGCUUCCGUGCUUUACAUGCCUGCACAAGUAGCACCACAGCAACAUUUUAGGUCCUAUAAGUCUUAGUUCUGUGCUGGUCUUCUUCUUCUUUCCAUCCUUCUCACUCACUCUCUGCUCCCAGUUCUGAGCUGGAAAAGAUCUGUUUUUAUGAGUAGGACUUACUUAAAGAGAAAAAAAGUGAAGUCGCAACAUGCCUGAAGUUCAGGAAUUAUGUUGCCAGCUCUUUUGUAUCCAUUGGGCUUUGCACCCUGACCUGACUUUGUCUCUCAGCACAGACCUGUCCUAGUGCAGUCUAUGCUAAGCCUGCAGGAUGUCACUGUGGUGUACCUGACAUGGCAUCCUAAUUUUUAUUCUGCUUGAACAAAAAAUCUCAUGCUGCAAUUUUGUAGUUAUAGAAGGAUUGGCCGCAAUAGUUAUGUUCCUUAAUUGUUUCUCAACAAAUACUGUGCAGUUUUUCCAUCUUGAGCUGUGAAAACUUGGGCAGAGUAUUAACUUCAACCACACGUUAUCAAGUCUUGCUUUUGAGCCUACCCCCAUUUUGGAGUAGAGGCUGUACUGCUGGUGGUGGUGACAAGUCAAGGGGCAGAGGCACCAGAACAAACGCACAUUUGUAGCUAAAACAUGUGAAUUUCUUUCAAAUUGUUUGCAUCCCAAGUCUCUGGAGAGUAAAAGUAGUUAUUAGGAUUUCCUGUCCAUGGAGAGUUGUUAUGGAGUGGUAACCAGGGAAAAAACACUUAUUUUACAAACCUCUGUGUGGUGAUGUUUUUCAAGAUGUGAUCCACUCAACAAGCCAUCCAACCGAAUCAGGUGGUCCUUUGUAGGCUGCCAUACAGAGUAGCUGUGUGUUGGUACUGUGGUUUCUUAUACUAUAAUCACGUAAAGGUGCACAUAACUUCUAUUGUAACAGAAAACUGUAUGUGCUGAUUGUUCUGUUAGCUUACUUAUAAACUUACCACCAGUGUACGUUUCCUGUGCCUUGCUCUGGGGAGCAUCGAUGCAUCACCUUUCCAUUCUGAAGAAAUUCCCAAUGCUUUGUAACUGGCAUCAUUGGGAAUCAAAGGGAGAAAGCAACGGGCAGCAGAUGAUCCUUCAGAGCCACUCAGACAGUGCAUGAACUGGUAUGGGCUUGGGAGAUGGCCAUCUGGUUAGAUGGUGGAAUGUUGUGAGACAGAGGUGAGGAAAUGUCGCUGUAGGAAAAUCACAACCAACAGUUUGGUCACAGAAUAAAGCAAGAGUAGUAUUCGUAGCAGGUCAGUAGCAACAUAGAGGAUGGGAAAGUAGAGAAAAGGACAGAAGAAAGGGGCAUCUCAUCUCCCACGUAAUUGCUUGCAAGCUGAAGAAUUAGAAAAUGCAGAAAUAAUUGCUUUUUUUUUGUAUUGGAAACACUUUUCCACCAAUUAGGAUAAAUAGAUCUGGCAUCUAGUGUUCAGAAUAUCUGUGGGAUGGCAGGAGUUCAUUCUUACCCCUCAAUGCUUUUUCUGUUUCUGUUUUAAAGUCAUUAAUUUCACUAACCACAUGCAUGUAUGCUUGCAUAAACUGUAGCUGGAUAUAGCACUAAGGAUUUUUCUAAUGUCCAGUAGUCGUAUGUGUUGCCAGCCUUCAGUGCCUAGGGCGUCAAAAUAGCCCUAGUGGAAUUGCUGCUUCUUUCGAUGUGUGUGACGGAGCCCAGGUAUCAAUGCAGUUGUGAAGACUACACUCCUAAACAAAGCCUUUCCUUUCUUCAGAAAAAAGUCUUAAGCAAAGGAAAUCUAAGAAAUUUAAUGAGAAAGUCUAAAAUUCCUCCUUCCUUUCCACUCCCUGAUGACUGAAAAUGGCUUUCAGGUUUGGCAGAUGAGCUUUUCAAGGCAGAACUGAAUUUUCCAGGGAGUGGCUUAAGAAGUACAGGCAGAAGAUGUUUUCCAUUAGUGCCCUUUUUGGAAAUUCCCACCAGCCUAAUAAACAACAUGCCACACGUAAGAGGGGGCUCUACUCCUUGGCUGUGCCAAGUUAGCAAACACUGCUUGAACCCACUAGCCACGCUAAACUACACCUUUCUUGUACCCCCCCCUUGACCUCUGUUCUGAAUAUUCAUUCCUGUGCUCAUACUUCUGCUACUUUUAUCCCCCAAAACAGUACCCAGUAGUAAAAAGCAGGAAAAUAGAUACUGUACUUAACCUGGGAAGCUGUGUUGCUCUUAGAGGACAGCAGCAUCCUGGCUUACCAGAGCAGAAACCUUGCCUACCUCUGCAAAUUCAGGGUGAUGCUCCAUCUUUUCCCAUAGCUGUCAGGAAUGGGAGAAAACCUCGUGGUGGCUCAAGAUGCAACUGGAGAUAUGUAGGGGCAGAGAGAGAGGAACACUGGGAAGUUGUGGUUGAGGACCACUGAUAAACAGAGACGUAUCUGGAAUGCUUGCUUCCCUGCUUGACACAGUUUUCAUUGCUGUGUAGCAGCAGGGCACUAACUCUGGGUUAACAGGCUUUUUGUGAGGCAGAAAGUGAGAGUGUGUGGGUCUAUAAUGGACUUUAAUGGGGUAAUUUCAAGGCAGGGAGGUUAAGGCUUUGAUCUAUUUCUUUUCAUUUUUUAAUAAAUUUGCAAAGUCCAUGUGAAAAGUAGAGCGUGGCGUGGCUUGGUUCUUCUAUGAGCAAAUUUUACCUCAGCUGUAUGUCUGUCUCCUAAACGUUGGCACUGUCUGAAGGACAGGAUGUCCUCAAGAAAAAAAUAGCAGGCAGUGCCACUUCCACAAAUGAUGUUCAUCAUCAUCCAUCCUCUGGUUUUUCUCUUCUCACUUUGUUUCAUAGUAUAAUAUUUUACAUACAUUUUUAAUGUAGAUGUUAAACAUUACUCUGAGACUUCAUUGGGAGUUUCUGUACUUGUUUACUUUUAAUUAAAAGCUCCAUUCAAAGUCAGAAAGACUUCUCUCGCAUGCUGAAGUUAAGCCCACUCUCAACAUCACUGGUGACUGCAUGAGAGCAAGCUGGCUUGCUGGGCUGAACUGCAUGGGACCAAGACUUUGUGUUUGGAUGAGAUUGCACUUUGGGAAUUCACUCAUUUCCAGCCCCCCUGAUGCUAAGGCUUUAAGGAGGAGUGGAGAAAAGAGCAUGCACACAUUGGAGCUGCAUACAAGCCACAACACAGGUUUUAUUGGCAGUUGCCAGGCCUGUCUGAGUGUCUUCUGCUGACCUUGUUACGGCCAUCAGGACACAUUUACCAAAUGGAGUCAUUGCCAGGCAGUCGUAUUAACAAAUGGCAAGCGUUAAUUUGCCCUUUGAAAAUGAAGAAAUCAAUAUGUUGAUCCAGUCGGAAAUCCGUUUGUUCACAAAACAGCCUACCCCCAAACCCCUCCAUAUAAUUAAGGCUAAAGCCAAAUUUUGUUUGGGUGAAACGCUCAAUCUGUCUGCUCCCUAAGCCGUGUUGAAUGAAGUUCGCCCCUAAUGGCACAGGGAGCAGCUGUCACACUGUUGCUCCAAUAACCAUGAGACAAAGUGAUUAGAUUUCCAUCAAUCAUUUAGCAUUAUCAGAAUAGGUCGCUUUAAUAAAAUGUUAUCAUAGGAUCAGUGCCUGGCACCUUAGAAAGGAGAGGGGCAGUGGUGAAGAGUCAUCUCAUGACAGCUUUUGAGUCAUCUCCCUUGCAGGAGAUGCUGGUCCAGAUUAAUCCCCCUAAAUCCACCGUUUUUCAUGAGACUGCCUGAUUCCAGGAUCUUUUGAGAGUAAAGAUAUUCCUGUAAUCAACUCAGAUGGCUUUUUUUUUUUGUUUCAGCAAGUGUCCUCUUGUUCUUGCGCUGUGUAAAUAAAUCACCAAUCUUUCGUUUUGGAGGAAAUCCUCCACAGGUUAUAAAUGUUAUGGAGGACUAAGCCCUGGUUUCAGAAGCUAUUUCAGAGCCAGAAGUUACAUGCCCAGCAAUGUGGAUGGCUACCGAGUGGGCUUUCUGAACAUAUGAGAGGAUUUCAUGGGAAUGUUUAAUUGUACAUGCAUUCCAAAACUCUACUUGGUGCCUGCCUGUAUUUUUAAAUCACUGAGUACCUUUAGAAACCUCACCCCUUAUCCCACUUGGUUGAAAUAUUCAUCUGUUUUUGGUGUUUUACGUACUUACCAUGUCCCUUUGUAGUCAUCUCCAUGCUGCAUCCAAGGUCUUUUUCUAGUGAGUUUCCCUCUGCAGAGAAGUUUCAUGACUACAGAAUAAGCUGGACUCCAACCUCAUUUCUAAAGCCAGCUGGACCCUGUCUAUCAAUGCUCUAUUGCAUGAGUAGGAAAAUGGAGAGCUCCAAAGUCAGAACUGAAAUUCAUAGCUCCUCACCACAAAUUUGGUGCUUCUCUUAGGCGGCCUUCUUCAGCUCUCCUUCAAGGGUAGUGGUCAAUGUUGAACUCUGAUGGAAGAUUUGUCCAGCCUUUUGGUGAUGUUGAGAAAGGCUGAUCAUGAUAAAUGGAGAAAAGCUGGUGGAUCCUUCCAUGCUUCACCUGGAAAUAAAAUAAAAUAGUGCACCUAAGGUGGUGCACUAAGUUUCUGUAAAUCAGACUUGGCUAUUGUUUUUCUUCGCAGAGAGGUUUUUUUUUCUUUCCUGUUUAGAAGCAGCUAAACCAGCGAAGAAGCACCCUUGACCCUUGGCAAGGGAGAAUCGUUUUCGGGCAAGGUCACAGUGCAACUUUUUUGUUGCUGCCCUCAAACUGACACGAGAUGUAGAGAGAGAACCCUUUGCCAAAUCUGCUGUCAGCAAGUGGACAGUGAUACUGUUUACAGCUUACGACCUUUGUGAACCCUGCAUUAUUUUCCUAAUGAAGCAGACUGUUAAUAGGCCCCUCACCGGAGUGAAGAUCCUCCUUUUUUUCUUUCUUCCUUUUUUUUUUCCCCUUUUUUUUUUUUUUUUUUGGGGGUGGGGGCGGGCAUUGAACUAAUUCUGAAGUAUGCAAAAUCUUCCUUUUCUGGGAUGGCCAAGCACCUGCUGUGGAGACAAUGUUUAGCACCAUCCUGUCGAGAACACACUGUGUAGCCUUUACAGUAGUUACUUGUCGAUGAGUAUGUGGUGUUUCAAUAUAUUAAUGGUUUAUGGGAUGUUUUAAGUUAGCUUUUCUUUUUGGAGGUUUUCCCUGUCUGCCCACCCUCCUCCCUGAAGCCUCCAGUUCAAUUUCCUUAGAUUUUUGAACCAUUUUUGCUUUCUCUCCCUGAGGAAUCUGAAGUACUGCGCAUGCACAAGGAAAUUAUCAUAACCCAACACUGCUCUGAUGUCAGGGUUUGCUGAAUAUACAGUGUUUGUUAUACCAAGGAACCAGCUGAAUUCCAGAGAGAGGUGAUGUGUGUGGUCUGUUUGUUUGUUGGAUUGGUUUGUUUAUCUUUCUUAUUCUUUCCUUAACUGCAAUGGUACACCCCUGUUUUCCAUAAGCAUCAAACCAGGGUUGAUUACAAAGCAAGGGAAGCUGGUGAGUUUGCCUCUUGGCUCGUGAGGCCAGACUGACAGCGGAUGCCGUUGCCCACACGUGCACUGAGGCAAGAGCCUGUUUGCUGCCAGCCAGAGCAGGCUAUCUUCCUGCCUUCUGUUAGGUGAGCUGCCCCUACUACUGAAGCGAACUGGAAAGGAGUUACAAGCUGAGCUGCCAAACAGGUUGAAUAUAAGCCACCUGUAAAGAUCUUUUGAAAAAGCGAAAAUUAAGAGAAAUACACUACUUCGCAGAAAAGCUAAGCGUAGUGUCUGGGCAUCAGCAAGUGACUUGCAGUGGCAGCGCUUGGAGUUGAAGCACAGAUUGUUGCAGGGUGUGUUACUGCAUUAGUGAUCCUUUUUUCUCCCUUUUGGACAUAGCCUUGAUUAUUUUUUCCUUCUCAUUAUGUAUAAUCCAUUGUGGCAGAAGAAGCAGGAGAGGGAAUGGCAAGGUGACAGUAUCAUACAAAUGGCUUUUCAUAUGAGCAUAGAUUGUAACAAGAUAAAUGACACUGAAAGACAAGGCAGUUUUAUAUAUUUUGCUUCUAAGAUUUUCUUUUGUAAAAUGAGUAAUAAUUAAUAACAAUAAUAAUAAUGAAUAAAUGGUAUGGUGCUGUAUAGAUCCUCUCUAUAAUUUGGAAAGUUUGAUUACUUUUUAUUAGCAUCGGCGGGGGUGCGGGAAUACAAAAACAGAGGGGAAAACACCAGUGGUACAUAGGAACUCAAUAUGAAGAGGUUCUGAAUAGGACAGUGUAUACAUAAUUCUCCAAAGCGAUAUAUGAAGGUUUUUUCUUUGCAUAAAUGCAUUAUGCAUAUAAAUAUAUAAAUAUAUUUUAUUAUGUACAGAAAUGGAUCAUUAUGCAUGGUUGUUAGGAAAACGAACUAGCAUUUUAACCCAAAGUCUCAGUGCAUGAGUUCCCACUGACCCGUGUCCCAUGCAAUGUGGAGUGACUCCCUCUUGCCACUGCCACUGCACAUGCACAGUCAUGCACACACAGACACACACAUGCAUUCGUGGGCCCUUCCUUGCUCCUUCCUUUCCAGGUCCCUCAAGUGAUAUUGGUGGAACAACAGCUCCUAGUGUGAUGGAAGUUUUGAUUUUGUCCCGUAGCCCCUACACUGUUCUCUCGUAAAGAUGCACCUCUUGGUUUCUCCCUGCAAUUAUGACCGUGUAGACUCUGUGCAGUUGUGGUGUCAUAGCCCUGUAGCAUAUCAACUCUUCCAAGCAACCAAGGGUUUAUCAUUCACCUUUUAAAAAUCUUCUCUCUCUCUUUUUAUUUUUUUUUUUUUUUUUUUUUUUUACACUGAAGUGGUCUAUUUGUCAGCGUGGGGACUAGUUUAUGGACUUGGUUGGAGUUAGCUGAUGCUCAUUGCCCAUCUCUGUCAGCAGUCAGCUACCCAGGACGCCGGUUUGGCUCAGCAGUCACCUGCGCUAGGGGUUGCUUUGCUUAUCAGAGUACAGUUGCAGGCACCUUUUACCAGAACCGAUUGAGAGCAUUAGCUCUCAGCUUCCUGGUACACUCCAACAUGCGAGUGUACACUGAAGGAAUUCCCUCUGGUGCUCCUUUCCCAAGGCUCCUCUGUGGCUGCUGCCCUGGUGCUGGGCUCAUCCCUGUGCCCCAUGGUUUCAGCUGCGAGCGGGGCUUGUUCAGUGGCUUCCCAUGCUGGGGCGCAGCAUUUGGUCCCUGCAUAAGUGAGCUCUCUGGAGACCGAGAGUGCCUACCUUAAGGCCACCAACCAGGCCACUGACAGCACCAGUAAGGCCUGACUUGAUGGUAUGGCUGAGGUGACAAAAAUCCAUCAUUUUUAUUUUACUUCUUCGUACGAAGGCAGUUCUUAUCAAAGACAAGUGAAGGCCCGCAAGCAGAUGGGGGCAACUUCUGCUCUGCUGCAGCAGCCCCUUUCAGUUCAAUGAAGCUAGCUCCCACUGGCAGAAAUGAGAGCAAAAAAUAUGGUCUGCUUUGUUCAGAAAAUGACAGAGAAGUUUUGGGUUGUUUUUUUUUU